rnacentral:lncRNA from 1 species
UUUUCUUUAUUGCAGAACUAAAUACUAUAAAUGAAAUCCCUUUCUUUUAUAGUCCCUAGGAAGACAAGUUGGUUAAAUAUGUAAGAACCCUUCCCCCUUCCUCUCUGCAGGUUCUGUAGAAGUGUGUUGAAUUUAACAAGAUUAUUGAGUUCUAUGUUAAGUAAUCAGCGUAGCCAGCUCCUGUUGUUUACAAGCCUGUAUUUUCCUCUGAUGUCAGGGUGCUCAAGCAUUCCUGGUAUCUGACUGAUGGCGAUAUAGCAAAUAUAUCCUUGAGCCUAUCAAAUCUAAUUUAUGGCUUUUAAAUCACUGAAUUUGUUAGCAGUAUGAAAGCGGGAAGUUCAAAUACUGUUUUGUCAAAUCUGUGGAACCUUUUAUCUAUCUGUAGGUACCAUGAAAAAUUUCAAGAGAAUCGUGAUAAUGUGCAAAUUUGGGAUUUCUUUUUUUUUUCCUUUUUUUUUUAAAGUAUCUGGUACAUUUCUGUACAAAAAUAAAAUAAUAUCUCUAGGAAUGUGAACUGAACAUAAUACGCCAUGUUUAUUAGUUUUACUUAAUGAAUUUAUUACAUAUAUAUACUUAUACACACACUUGUAUACCUAUGUGUGCAUAUGUAUAUAUGUAUUGAAGUUUUGUCUUCUGUAUUUAAUUACAGAGUGUGGCUUCCUAAUUCAAUGGUGCCUGUUGGCUGACAAGAAUAAUCAGAAAUGAAUCCUUUUUAUUAAAAAGAAUUUGUGUGUAUCUCUAUUUAAAUGGUUUUCCUGUUGACAGCUUAAAAUACCUACUCUGUCAACCCAAGCAGCCUGUUAUCCUAGAAAGUUUCCAAAACUGAAUGUUGAUAUACAGCACUUAAGUGCGUGCGUGUAUCUUCUGGCCUUUGAGUGCUGUGACUGGCUGCACAGAAUUGUGCCAUUGUCAACAAAUGCACUUGUUUUAGCCUUAAUUAUUUUUAAGAGGAAACGAGUAAUUGAAUUUUUCAUUUGGUUCAUCCUCAAGCUUGUGCUGCUGGUGUUUGCUAGAACUAAACAGUAAAUUUUAAGUGCUACCAGAAUGUGUACCAAAAUAAAAAUAUAUGAAUUCCACAAUCUAAAUUUUAAUUUUGUGCAAUAUUUUCAUUUAAUGCAUGUGUAUUUGAAUAACUGUAAAAUAAAUGAAUUUUUAAUGUUUUGAAGUCUAGGUUAAAAAUAUCUUCUCAGCUGAACAAUUUUGCAUUCUGUUGUUGCGUUAGUUUAUUUAAGGACUUGUUUUAAAAGUCUUAUUUGUUACUCCUUUGUUAAUUUUGCCCUUGUUCUCAAUGAUCCUUGCUCGUCUGAGCAAAGUUCAUAUAUUACAAGGGAGAAAUCUGAAGAGCACAUCUCAUGAAUAUAGCUGUUAUGAAUUACUUGUGCAUAUCAUUGUACAGUAAGUGUCAGCUGUGUGCCUAAUUGUUCUAUUGAUGCUUUUUCCCUCCCUUCCCCUUCCUCUCGUUUCUGUAACAAAGAAUGAACACGAACCAGGCUGCCAUGGUCACUUCUACUGAAUGGCAGAGGACUCUGAAUUUUUUUUGGAGUUUGCAUUUAUGUUCUGUCCAAUAGAAAGCUAAAAAAUUACACUAAUAAAGUAUUAACAGGA